ensembl:ncRNA lncRNA:CR45721 long non-coding RNA:CR45721
ACAUAUAGCAUACGAGCAUAGCGCAAACAGCGCAUAUGGCAGGUAGCGUAGCGUCUUCUUGGAUUUUGGCCUGCACGAAAACAAGGAACCCAACCGCUCCAAAGCGGGAGUUUCGGUGGGUUCUUGUGUGUGGCGACGAGACGCUUGUGCUAGUUGGCCAUGCGAUAUGUGAAAUCGAGAACAGUAAUGACGUUGUCAACUGGCAACACUGCGGGCGGUUUGGCCAAGACUGCAACAGCAGCGCGGCAUCAGCAACACAUCACAUCGCAUCACGUACGCAGACCAGAACCAAAAACAAAAGUCGGUACCCAAAGCGCAUGGAGAAUGGUAAAUGGUAGACGGUAGAUGGUAGAUGGCAAUGGCAACAUUACAACUUGCCCGGUUUCGGAUGACUCUCUGCAACUGGCGGCUUUUUCAAUUAUCCCCAGCGUAUCAAGCAAGAAGCCAACUUUAAAGCCGGCCUAUGACGAAAUGAAAUUUGGUAAGCAACAGGCGCAGCGGCAACAUUGUGGCUAAAACGGCUUCAUCGAAGUAUUGUAUAUACUGCUUGUAUUGGGGCUUUUCAAUGUAUGU